AACGAACGCUGGCGGCAUGCCUAACACAUGCAAGUCGAACGAGACCUUCGGGUCUAGUGGCGCACGGGUGCGUAACGCGUGGGAACCUGCCCUUAGGUUCGGAAUAACUCCCCGAAAGGGGUGCUAAUACCGGAUAAUGUCUUCGGACCAAAGAUUUAUCGCCUUUGGAUGGGCCCGCGUUGGAUUAGCUAGUUGGUAGGGUAAAAGCCUACCAAGGCGACGAUCCAUAGCUGGUCUGAGAGGAUGAUCAGCCACACUGGGACUGAGACACGGCCCAGACCCCCACGGGAGGCAGCGGGGGGGAAUAUGGGAAAAGGGGCGAAAGCCUGACCCCGCAAUGCCGGGGGAGUGAUGAAGGCCUUGGGGUUGUAAAGCUUUUUUACCCGGGAUGAUAAUGACAGUACCGGGAGAAUAAGCCCCGGCUAACCCCGU
rnacentral:rRNA from 1 species